GACGAACCGUGCGAACGUUGUUCGGAAUCACUGGGCUUAAAGGGCGCGUAGGCGGCUUCGCAAGUCCGGGGUGAAAGCCCCCAGCUCAACUGGGGAAGUGCACAGGAGACUGCUUGGCUUGAGUUCGGGAGAGGGAAGCGGAAUUCCGGGUGUAGCGGUGAAAUGCGUAGAUAUCAGGAGGAACACCGAUGGCGAAGGCAGCACUCUGGGACGGUACUGACGCUGAGACGCGAAAGCGUGGGGAGCAAACAGG
rnacentral:rRNA from 1 species